AGGAAAAAUCCUGCCCAGUUUCUGGGGAAGAAUGGUUUUUCUAAUCAAAGGAACCUUCGUGGAAUGCCUGAAGUCCGGUGGCUCCCUGAUAACCGGGAGUAACAGGAUGUAACAGGAGAGGCCAUCAAUCCUCCUGCCCAAAGGAGCCAACUGGGGCCAACUAGAACAUCUCUGCUGCCUCCUAAGGGAGUGAGUGUGUUUUCUGGAGCUGCUGCCUAUGAUUGCAGGGGAGAAAGAUGAUCUGAAGAGUCAGCUGUGAACUUAUUGCUGCCCAUUCUCCAAGAGGGUGUGGCUGCCUCCACCAACAUGGUGCAUUCUCCCAUAGCGCUGAUGGUCUGUGAUGACCCAAGAACUCCCGGAUCCAUGUGAAGAAUCUGUUCAAUUGUGGACCAGAGUGAGGGAUGAGGUUUGAGAAGCUGAAGGGGAGCAGAAGGAACACUCUACUGGGAGUCAGGAGAUCCAAGUUCCAGACUCAGAUCUGCCAUGAAUACUCUCAGUGACUUUGGCUGGUCCCUUUCCCUCUCUGGGCCUCAGUUCUGUAACCUGUGAAACAUGGUCACACUAAAUGCCUCCUCGUUUAACUCCCUCCCCAGUUCAGAUAUUAGAACGUCGAGUUAAUGAGGGACUGUAUUAAGUAUUACAGUGUUUCACAUCAGAAUUCCUUUCCUAUAGCUGAUAAAAAUAUUUAACCUGUCCAGUCUAUCAUCGAUGGGCAUUUGGGUUGAUUCCAGGUCUUUGCUAUUGUAAACAGUGCUGCAAUGAACAUUCGUGUGCAUGUGUCCUUAUAAUAGAACGAUUUAUAGUCCUUUGGAUAUAUACCCAGUAAUGGGAUUGCUGGGUCAAAUGGAAUUUCUAUUUCUAGGUCCUUGAGGAAUCGCUACACUGUCUUCCACAAUGGUUGAACUAAUUUACACUCCCACCAGCAGUGUAAAAGUGUUCCUAUUUCUCCACAUCCUCUCCAGCAUCUGUUGUCUCCAGAUUUUUUAAUGAUCGCCAUUCUACCUGGCAUGAGAUGGUGUCUCGAUGUAGUUUUGAUUUGCAUUUCUCUAAUCACCAGUGAUGAUGUUUUCAGAUGUUUGUUGGCCUCAUGUAUGUCUUCUUUUGUAAAGUGUCUGUUCAUAUCCUUUGCCCACUUUUGAAUGGGCUUGUUUGUUUUUUUCUUGUAAAUCUGUUUUAGUUCUUUGUAAAUUCUGGAUAUCAGCCCUUUGUCAGAUGGGUAAACUGCAAAAAUUUAAAAUGUGGCACAUAUACACCAUGGAAUAUUAUGCAGCCAUAAAAAACGAUGAGGUUGUGUCCUUUGUAGGGACAUGGAUGAACCUGGAGACCAUCAUUCUCAGCAAACUGACACAAGAACAGAAAAUGAAAUACUGCAUGAUCUCACUCAUAGGCGGCUAUUGAACAAUGAGAACACAUGGACACAGG